rnacentral:lncRNA from 1 species
GGAAGAUAGCAAAAAUAACCAGCCAAAAUAAAGAUUAAAGAGACAAAAAAAUGUGUAUAUCUUGAUGUAGAUGAUUUAUCCUCAAUUUCUUAUAAUAAAACUAAAAAUAUUAUUAAACUUAGGAAUUUACCUGUAACUACAAACUCUUUACAGAAGUUCAAUGUUUGCUCUGAGAAGUUAAGUGAACAAAAUUUAUUAAAUGAUAAAGUUGUAUCCUUGAUAGAUAUUCUGGUAUUAUUGGCACAAUGGGCAAGCAUUGAAGUGCAACUUGGUGAACUACAAAAUACAUCAAAUUCAGUUAUAAAAUUUUGAGUAUCAAAGGUAUGCUAAUUAUUGUAUUGCCUGAAAGAGUGUCAUUGCCAUUAAAAGCAGUGAAGAAUUCAAGUACUUUGGAAGAAAAAAGACAAGAAAACACUUCAGUAAAUGGUAAAUAUUUUUUUAUGAUCUGUUUAUGCAUUUAGUAUGAUAUGUAGUACAAUUUAUAUACUUUAAAUAAAAUACUCUUUGAAGAUUUUUUGUAAAUGACAUUUUAUAUUAAUUUAAGUCUAAACUAAAGUUACUUUAAUUACUGCCAGGCUGUGUAUUUUUGCAAGUUAAUUAUUUGGCACAAAUUGGAGUGAAAGACGAAGGAGAUUGUAUAUGUUAUUUACUAAGAAUAGUUUAUUAAAAUGGCCUAGCUCUAAAAUUAAAUUAUGCAGGGAGAGGAUAAAAAUUGGAAUAGGAAAAAUGUUGAUUGCGUAUGCUGCUAUUGAAACUGUGAAGUCAAUUAAGCAUGGCUUAUGCAGACAUAUGAUAGAGAUAGCGGAAGAAAAAAUGAUAAUCGUGGGGACCAAAUAUCAUAAGCUAAACACGAUUCAAUAACAAGUAGCUCAGUCAAUAUCGAAACAACUCUAUAAAUUUUAUAGUGAAUUUUUUUAUUUAAAACUCAAUGUGUUAGUUUUUGGUAUAAGUUUGGUGUUUGCAAUAUGUAUAUUUAACCGAGAAAUUAUGUUUAAUAAAUAAAUGUUUAUACUU